CAGCAGCCACGGUAAAACGGAGGGUGCAAGCGUUAUCCGGAUUUAUUGGGUUUAAAGGGUCCGUAGGCGGAUCUGUAAGUCAGUGGUGAAAUCUCACAGCUUAACUGUGAAACUGCCAUUGAUACUGCAGGUCUUGAGUAAAUUUGAAGUGGCUGGAAUAAGUAGUGUAGCGGUGAAAUGCAUAGAUAUUACUUAGAACACCAAUUGCGAAGGCAGGUCACUAAGAUUUAACUGACGCUGAUGGACGAAAGCGUGGGGAGCGAACAGGAUUAGAUACCCCUGUAGUCCCUGUCUCUUAUAC
rnacentral:rRNA from 1 species